GUAGGUGGCAAGCGUUGUCCGGAAUUAUUGGGGCGUAAAGCGCGCGCAGGCGGUUCUUUAAGUCUGAUGUGAAAGCCCACGGGCUCAGCCGUGGAGGGUCAUUGGAAACUGGAGAACUUGAGUACAGAAGAGGAAAGCGGAAUUCCACGUGUAGCGGUGAAAUGCGUAGAGAUGUGGAGGAACACCAGUGGCGAAGGCGGCUUUCUGGUCUGUAACUGACGCUGAGGCGCGAGAGCGUGGGGAGCAAACAGGAUUAGAUACCCUGGUAGUCCACGCCGUAAACGAUGAGUGCUAAGUGUUAGGGGGUUUCCGCCCCUUAGUGCUGCAGCUAACGCAUUAAGCACUCCGCCUGGGGAGUACGGCCGCAAAGGCUGA
rnacentral:rRNA from 1 species